UAGGGAAUCUUCCACAAUGGGCGCAAGCCUGAUGGAGCAACACCGCGUGAGUGAAGAAGGGUUUCGGCUCGUAAAGCUCUGUUGUUAGAGAAGAACGUGCGUGAGAGCAACUGCUCACGCAGUGACGGUAUCUAACCAGAAAGUCACGGCUAACUACGUGCCAGCAGCCGCGGUAAUACGUAGGUGGCAAGCGUUAUCCGGAUUUAUUGGGCGUAAAGCGAGCGCAGGCGGUUUGAUAAGUCUGAUGUGAAAGCCUUUGGCUUAACCAAAGAAGUGCAUCGGAAACUGUCAGACUUGAGUGCAGAAGAGGACAGUGGAACUCCAUGUGUAGCGGUGGAAUGCGUAGAUAUAUGGAAGAACACCAGAGGCGAAAGCGAUCUACUGGACCUUAACUGACACUGAGACGCGAAAGCCAGGGUAGCAAACG
rnacentral:rRNA from 1 species